rnacentral:ncRNA from 2 species
UUCUUUGGUACAAUGACCGGGCAGUUUACAACCCGUCCGCUGCGGCGAAGCCGGUGCAAAACCGGCGCUGUCGCGCAACUGUAAGGUUGAUUUCAACCAAGCCAGGUCGCCCGCGCGGAACGGUCGCUU